UUGGGGAAUUUUCCGCAAUGGGCGCAAGCCUGACGGAGCAUGACCGCGUGCGGGAGUUCGGCCUAUUGGUUGUAAGCCGCUUUUGAUAGGGAAGAAGUUGUGACGGUACCUAUCGAAUCAGCAUCGGCUAACUCCGUGCCAGCAGCCGCGGUAAUACGGAGGAUGCAAGCGUUAUCCGGAAUUAUUGGGCGUAAAGCGUCCGUAGGUGGUUGUUCAAGUCUGCUGUUAAAGCGUGCGGCUUAACCGCAUACCAGCAGUGGAAACUGGGCGACUAGAGUGCGGUAGGGGUCAGGGGAAUUCCCAGUGUAGCGGUGAAAUGCGUAGAUAUUGGGAAGAACACCGGUGGCGAAAGCGCCUGACUGGACCUGCAC
rnacentral:rRNA from 1 species